rnacentral:lncRNA from 1 species
AUUUUUUAGAUGUUAUGGCCCAUUGUUAAACUCCAAAUCCCUCUUUGCACUUAAGUCAGAAGAAUUACGGCAACAAUUAUUAAUAUUAAAUAAAAACAACCCUGAUCAUUACUAUGAUGACCUAUUGAAGUGUAAGGCGUUAUUUCUAGAAAAAUCCGAAAGUUUGAGAAGAUUGUUAAAGAAAUUUGAAACCGAACCUUCAGUAUUGUCGUGCUGUUCUUAUGAAAUUGGUUUAACUUAUUAUAAAUAAUUUAUAACAUAUUAAAAAUAAAUGGUUUUUU